rnacentral:misc_RNA from 1 species
AAAGUCGUAACAAGGUCUCCGUUGGUGAACCAGCGGAGGGAUCAUUAUAGAGUCUUCUGAACUCCAAACCUUUGUGAACUAUAUCAUGUUGCUUCGGCGGGUUGCCGGGCGGCCAAGCGCCCCCAGCGUCGCCCGCCGAAGGCCCAAACUCUUGACUUCCAGCGGAAUCUUCUGAGUGAUUACAAAUAAGCAAUCAAAACUUUCAGCAACGGAUCUCUUGGCUCUG